AGCGAACGCUGGCGGCAGGCCUAACACAUGCAAGUCGAACGGAUCCUUCGGGAUUAUUGGCGGACGGGUGAUUAACACGUGGUAACGUGCCCUUUGGUUCGGAACAACUCACGUAAACUUGACUUCAUACCGUAUGUGCUCUUCCGGGGAAAGAUUUAUGGCGAUUGGAUCGGCCUUCGUCUGUUUAGCGAGUUGGUGAUGUAACGGCCCGUCAUGGCGACGUUCAGUAGCUGGUCUGUGAGGAGGAUCUGCAACACUGGAACUGAGAACCGGCCCACAAUCGUACGGAGGGGUGCAGAAGGGAAUCUUGCGCAAGGGAGGAAGGCGUGACAAAGCCAUGCCGGGGAAAUGAGGAAGGUCUUAGGAUUGUAAAAUUCUUUCAGCGGGGACGAUAAUGACGGUACCCGAAGAAGAAGCACCGGCUAACUUCGUG
rnacentral:rRNA from 1 species